rfam:Triticum aestivum genome assembly, contig: Triticum_aestivum_CS42_TGACv1_scaffold_513345_6BS
GUCGUACUCCCUCCGUCCGGAAAUACUUGUCAUAGAAACGGAUGUAUCUAGAUGCAUUUUAGUUCUAUAUACAUCCAUUUUCACCCAUUUUGAUGACAAGCGAUUCCGGACGGAGGGAGUACGUC